rnacentral:misc_RNA from 1 species
GAUGAAGAACGUAGCGAAAUGCGAUACGUAAUGUGAAUUGCAGAAUUCAGUGAAUCAUCGAGUCUUUGAACGCACAUUGCGCCCCCUGGUAUUCCGGGGGGCAUGCCUGUCCGAGCGUCAUUGCUGCCCUCAAGCACGGCUUGUGUGUUGGGCCUCCGUCCUCCUCCCGGGGGACGGGCCCGAAAGGCAGCGGCGGCACCGCGUCCGGACCUCGAGCGUAUGGGGCUUCGUCACCCGCUCUUGUAGGCCCGGCCGGCGCUUGCCGACACAUCAAUCUUUUUUCCAGGUUGACCUCGGAUCAGGUAGGGAUACCCGCUGAACUUAAGCAUAUCAAUAAGCGGAGGA